GACGUAGGGCGCGAGCGUUGUCCGGAUUUAUUGGGCGUAAAGAGCUCGUAGGCGGCUUGUCGCGUCGACUGUGAAAACCCGCGGCUUAACUGCGGGCUUGCGGUUGAUACGGGCGGGCUAGAGUUCGGUAGGGGAGACUGGAAUUCCUGGUGUAGCGGUGAAAUGCGCAGAUAUCAGGAGGAACACCGGUGGCGAAGGCGGGUCUCUGGACAGUUCCUGACACUGAGACACGAAGGCCAGGGGAGCAAACGGG
rnacentral:rRNA from 1 species